UUCAAUAUUCCCCUCGAGAGCCAGGUCCAGCCUGCUCAGUCACAGGGCCGGACUCCGCCUAGACUCCUCAAUCAAACCGGCCCAAACCUCUCGGCCCAGUAAUCAGGCCCUCACCAGGCUCAACUUCAGCCCUACCAUUCAACCCAGCCCGGAAAGGGAAAAAUGACCAAGAUGCCCCGCUGGUAGGUCCUUCCGCAUGCGUAUCAGAGGAGAAUCAUACGUAUCAGAGGAGAAUUAAUGGCCGUUACGCAUGGAGCAGGCGCCUGACACACCCGUACAUACGGAGCUAGGCAACAGAAGACAGCUAGCAUUGUGGCAAAGAGACAGAUAUAUAUAUCACGGUAGA
rnacentral:lncRNA from 1 species